AUUGAACGCUGGCGGCAGGCCUAACACAUGCAAGUCGAACGAGUGGCGGACGGGUGAGCAAUGUAUGGGAAACUGCCUGAUGGAGGGGGAUAACUACUGGAAACGGUAGCUAAUACCGCAUACCAUCAGAUGUGCCGAGAUGGGAUGAGCUAGGUGGUGGGGUAACGGCUCACCAAGGCGACGAUCCCUAGCUGGGCUGAGAGGAUGACCAGCCACACUGGAACUGAGACACGGUCCAGACUCCUACGGGAGGCAGCAGUGGGGAAUAUUGCACAAUGGGCGCAAGCCUGAUGCAGCCAUGCCGCGUGUAUGAAGAAGGCCUUCGGAUUGUAAAGUACUUUCAGCGGGGAGGCGUUACCCACAGAAGAAGCACCGGCUAACUCCGUGCCAGCAGCCGCGGUAAUAC
rnacentral:rRNA from 1 species